AGGGAAUCUUCCGCAAUGGACGAAAGUCUGACGGAGCAACGCCGCGUGAGUGAUGAAGGUUUUCGGAUCGUAAAGCUCUGUUGCCAGGGAAGAACGUCCUUAAGAGUAACUGCUUAAGGAGUGACGGUACCUGAGAAGAAAGCCCCGGCUAACUACGUGCCAGCAGCCGCGGUAAUACGUAGGGGGCAAGCGUUGUCCGGAAUUAUUGGGCGUAAAGCGCGCGCAGGCGGCUGUUUAAGUCUGGUGUAUAAUCCUGGGGCUCAACUCCGGGUCGCACUGGAAACUGGAUGGCUUGAGUGCAGAAGAGGAGAGUGGAAUUCCACGUGUAGCGGUGAAAUGCGUAGAGAUGUGGAGGAACACCAGUGGCGAAGGCGACUCUCUGGGCUGUAACUGACGCUGAGGCGCGAAAGCGUGGGGAGCAAAC
rnacentral:rRNA from 1 species